rnacentral:pre_miRNA from 1 species
ACAACAACAUUCGGACCGUCGGUCUACCGAGCAAUAUCACCCGCUCGAUGGAAGAUCUUUCCCUCUGUCCUAUAUC